rnacentral:misc_RNA from 1 species
UGGUUGGGAUACAUUUCGCCGGGUGCCUGUAGUGGGUGUCCGGUGGUGCAGAGUGUUUUACAAACAACAACGUCUUUGAUCAUCAACCGCCAGGAGUUUUGUGCUUCUGGUGGCCGGCCGCGUGGGUUGGGCACACUGUUGGGUCCUGAGGCAACAGGCCAGUUGUCGCCCCUGUGGGGGGUGGGUGUGUUGUCGCUCCAUCUUGGUGGUGGGGUGUGGUGUUUGUUUUGUGAAUAGUGGUU